GGAGGUCGGCAACGAUCACCCAGAGCCGGAAAGUUGGUCAAACUUGGUCAUUUAGAGGAAGUAAAAGUCGUAACAAGGUUUGAAGUAAGAUCCUUCCGUGACGCUUAUGAGAAGCCUUUGUUGCCUCGCAAGAGGUUACCUGCCGCGACUAUAAACAAGAGAUAGUGGGUAUUAAAAGCAAGUCAGCUGCUGUUGCUGGCGACACUUUCGAAUUGCGGGAACACCCUAAAGCCAUUCUACACCAACCAGACGAGGAAACUCGGCUGGGGCUCAUGCUAACAACAUGAGGUACGGUCAGAGCGAGAAUGGAUGUCACAAUGGGCAAUCCGCAGCCAAGUCCCUACGGCACCACACUGCUACGGGAAAGGUUCACAGACUAAGUGGAAGUGGGUUGCUAACUGCAGCUUAAGAUAUAGUCGGGUUCCAUACGAAACUAUGGAAGAGUCACACACACUCGAAUGAAAACCGUUCCGUAGGUGAACCUGCGGAAGGAUCAUUACCAAACACAGCGUUUCCAACGCUUUCAACCCUUUGUGAACCAAAAAACCUUUUCGCUUCGGUAGCAGGUUUGGGAGCCAGGUUAACCAACCCAGCUUCCCAAGCUCCGUCAGCCUGCCGGCAGCACUUCAAACCAAACUUGUUGUCAAACAUAGUCUGAACAGAAUCAUUUUCGAAUGAAAAUUAAAACUUUCAACAACGGAUCUCUUGGUUCUCGCAUCGAUGAAGAACGCAGCGAAACGCGAUAGUUAAUGUGAAUUGCAGAAUUCAGUGAAUCAUCGAGUCUUUGAACGCACAUUGCGCCCAUAGGUAUUCCUUUGGGCAUGUCUGUUUGAGCGUCAUUACAACCCUCAGCGCAAGCUGGUUAUGAGUUGGCUGAAAAUCCGUUCCCUUGUGGAACAGGUGGAAGUCCGGCUUUAAAGUUGUAUGCUCUGCUGGCUUGCUCUGCCUGACCAAAAACAUAGUAAUAUCUACGACUGUUUACAAGGAAGGCUUUGCUUGACCCGGCCUGAAUAAAAACCCAACAUUUCUUAGGUUUGACCUCAGAUCAGACAAGGAUACCCGCUGAACUUAAGCAUAUCAAUAAGCGGAGGAAAAGAAACCAACAGGGAUUGCCUCAGUAACGGCGAGUGAAGCGGCAACAGCUCAAAUUUGAAAUCUGGAGCUUUCAGCUUCCGAGUUGUAAUUUGAAGAGGAUGUUUCGGUUGUGACCUGGGCCUAAGUUCCUUGGAACAGGACGUCGUAGAGGGUGAGAAUCCCGUACACGGCUGCCGGUCUACUUCCAUGUGAAACUCCUUCGAAGAGUCGAGUUGUUUGGGAAUGCAGCUCAAAAUGGGUGGUAAAUUUCAUCUAAAGCUAAAUAUUGGCGAGAGACCGAUAGCGCACAAGUAGAGUGAUCGAAAGAUGAAAAGCACUUUGAAAAGAGAGUUAAACAGUACGUGAAAUUGUUGAAAGGGAAGCGCUUGCAAUCAGACUUGCCUUCGGUUGAUCAACGUUCCUUUUGGUUCGUGCACUCUGCCGUUUGCAGGCCAGCAUCAGUUGGUGCGGUGGGACAAAGGUCGUAGGAAUGUGGCUCGCUUCGGUGAGUGUUAUAGCCUGCUUCGUAAUGCCACCAGCGCCGACUGAGGUCCGCGAUUCGUCUAGGAUGCUGGCUUAAUGGUUGUAAGCGACCCGUCUUGAAACACGGACCAAGGAGUCUAACAUCUAUGCGAGUCUUUGGGUGUCAAACCCAUGGGCGAAAUGAAAGUGAACGGAGGUGGGAGUCUUCGGAUGCACCAUCGACCGAUCCUGAUGUUCUCGGAUGGAUUUGAGUAGGAGCAUAGCUGUUGGGACCCGAAAGAUGGUGAACUAUGCCUGAAUAGGGUGAAGCCAGAGGAAACUCUGGUGGAGGCUCGCAGCGGUUCUGACGUGCAAAUCGAUCGUCAAAUUUGGGUAUAGGGGCGAAAGACUAAUCGAACCAUCUAGUAGCUGGUUCCUGCCGAAGUUCCCUCAGGA
rnacentral:rRNA from 1 species